rnacentral:tRNA from 1 species
AUGGCAUUGGUGCAACCGGUAGCAUUACGGUCUCCAAAACCGUCGAUGUUGGUUCGAGUCCAACAUGCUAUG